UCCGGAGGGUGCGGUCGUUAUUCGGAAUUACUGGGCGUAAAGCGCGUGUAGGCGGUUUUGCAAGUCUGAUGUGAAAGCCCCGGGCUUAACCUGGGAAGAGCAUUGGAAACUGCAGGACUUGAGUUCCGGAGAGGAAGGGGGAAUUCCCGGUGUAGAGGUGAAAUUCGUAGAGAUCGGGAGGAAUACCAGUGGCGUAGGCGCCCUUCUGGACGGUUACUGACGCUGAGACGCGAAAGCGUGGGAAGAAAACAGG
rnacentral:rRNA from 1 species